UACAGAGGUCUCGAGCGUUGUUCGGAUUCAUUGGGCGUAAAGGGUGCGUAGGUGGCUAGGUAAGUCGGAUGUGAAAUCUCGGGGCUCAACCCCGAAACUGCAUUCGAUACUGCCUGGCUAGAGUACUGGAGAGGAGAUUGGAAUUUACGGUGUAGCAGUGAAAUGCGUAGAUAUCGUAAGGAAGACCAGUGGCGAAGGCGGAUCUCUGGACAGUUACUGACGCUGAGGAGCGAAAGCGUGGGGAGCGAACAGG
rnacentral:rRNA from 1 species